rnacentral:rRNA from 1 species
UACACGCUGUGACUAGCAUAUCAAUAAGCGGAGGAAAAGAAACUAACAAGGAUUCCCUUAGUAACGGCGAGUGAAGCGGGAAGAGCUCAAAUUUGAAAUCUUCAAGGUUUUACCUUGACGAAUUGUAGUUUAAAGAAGUGUUUUCUGCUGAAGUUUUGGUAAAAGUUCUUUGGAAUAGGACAUCACAGAGGGUGAGAAUCCCGUCUAUGAUUGCGAUUUGUAGCUUUGUGAUACACUUUCAAAGAGUCGGGUUGUUUGGGAAUGCAGCCCAAAACGGGAGGUAAAUUUCUUCUAAGGCUAAAUAUUGGCGAGAGACCGAUAGCGAACAAGUACCGUGAGGGAAAGAUGAAAAGAACUUUGAAAAGAGAGUUAAAUAGUACGUGAAAUUGUCAAAAGGGAAGCGUUUAACACCAGUGUUGUUUUCUGAAAAUCAACCUCUGUUAGCUUUAUGCAUGUUUGUUUAGACCUAAUCAGCUAUCUUUCAUGUUCUAUUGUUUGCAGUGGUGCACUUUUCAGUUUACAGGUCAACAUCAGUUUUUUUUACCGUAAAAAAGUUAAAGAAAGGUAGCUCAUGGCUCCGGUCGUGAGUGUUAUAGUCUUUCUCCUAUGCGGUAGGAGAGACUGAGGUCUGCAGUGUAGGCUAUUUGGCUAGAUACUCAGGUGCUAUGUGAUACCAUUUCAUAAACAACUUGUUGAUUAUGUUUUGUCUAUUGCAUACUCGCUUGUACUAUCAUACCUACGCUUAGGAUGUUGAUGCAUAUCAAUAAGCGGAGGAAAAGAGGGCUAUUACCUACGCUUAGGAUGUUGACGAGACUGUCGAUCUCAUCUAUACAUGACUCUGUGCAUAUCAAUAAGCGGAGGAAAAGGUACCUACGCUUAGGAUGUUGAUCUACAGAGCGAGAGU